AGCGUACACGGUGGAUGCCUAGGCAGUCAGAGGCGAUGAAGGGCGUGCUAAUCUGCGAAAAGCGUCGGUAAGCUGAUAUGAAGCGUUAUAACCGACGAUACCCGAAUGGGGAAACCCAGUGCAAUACGUUGCACUAUCGUUAGAUGAAUACAUAGUCUAACGAGGCGAACCGGGGGAACUGAAACAUCUAAGUACCCCGAGGAAAAGAAAUCAACCGAGAUUCCCCCAGUAGCGGCGAGCGAACGGGGAGGAGCCCAGAGUCUGAAUCAGUUUGUGUGUUAGUGGAAGCGUCUGGAAAGUCGCACGGUACAGGGUGAUAGUCCCGUACACCAAAAUGCACAGGCUGUGAACUCGAUGAGUAGGGCGGGACACGUGACAUCCUGUCUGAAUAUGGGGGGACCAUCCUCCAAGGCUAAAUACUCCUGACUGACCGAUAGUGAACCAGUACCGUGAGGGAAAGGCGAAAAGAACCCCGGCGAGGGGAGUGAAAUAGAACCUGAAACCGUGUACGUACAAGCAGUGGGAGCACCUUCGUGGUGUGACUGCGUACCUUUUGUAUAAUGGGUCAGCGACUUAUAUUUUGUAGCAAGGUUAACCGAAUAGGGGAGCCGUAGGGAAACCGAGUCUUAACUGGGCGUCUAGUUGCAAGGUAUAGACCCGAAACCCGGUGAUCUAGCCAUGGGCAGGUUGAAGGUUGGGUAACACUAACUGGAGGACCGAACCGACUAAUGUUGAAAAAUUAGCGGAUGACUUGUGGCUGGGGGUGAAAGGCCAAUCAAACCGGGAGAUAGCUGGUUCUCCCCGAAAGCUAUUUAGGUAGCGCCUCGUGAACUCAUCUUCGGGGGUAGAGCACUGUUUCGGCUAGGGGGCCAUCCCGGCUUACCAAACCGAUGCAAACUCCGAAUACCGAAGAAUGUUAUCACGGGAGACACACGGCGGGUGCUAACGUCCGUCGUGAAGAGGGAAACAACCCAGACCGCCAGCUAAGGUCCCAAAGUCAUGGUUAAGUGGGAAACGAUGUGGGAAGGCACAGACAGCCAGGAUGUUGGCUUAGAAGCAGCCAUCAUUUAAAGAAAGCGUAAUAGCUCACUGGUCGAGUCGGCCUGCGCGGAAGAUGUAACGGGGCUAAACCAUGCACCGAAGCUGCGGCAGCGACACUUAGGUGUUGUUGGGUAGGGGAGCGUUCUGUAAGCCGUUGAAGGUGACCUGUGAGGGUUGCUGGAGGUAUCAGAAGUGCGAAUGCUGACAUAAGUAACGAUAAUGCGGGUGAAAAACCCGCACGCCGGAAGACCAAGGGUUCCUGUCCAACGUUAAUCGGGGCAGGGUGAGUCGACCCCUAAGGCGAGGCUGAAAAGCGUAGUCGAUGGGAAACAGGUUAAUAUUCCUGUACUUGGUGUUACUGCGAAGGGGGGACGGAGAAGGCUAGGCUGGCCGGGCGACGGUUGUCCCGGUUUAAGCGUGUAGGGGGAGUGACCAGGUAAAUCCGGUUGCUUAUCAACCCUGAGGCGUGAUGACGAUGCACUACGGUGCAGAAGCAGUUGAUGCCAUGCUUCCAGGAAAAGCCUCUAAGCAUCAGGUAACAUUAAAUCGUACCCCAAACCGACACAGGUGGUCAGGUAGAGAAUACUCAGGCGCUUGAGAGAACUCGGGUGAAGGAACUAGGCAAAAUGGUGCCGUAACUUCGGGAGAAGGCACGCUGGCGUUAGGUGAAAGGACUAGCUCCUGGAGCUGAAGCCAGUCGCAGAUACCAGCUGGCUGCAACUGUUUAAUAAAAACACAGCACUGUGCAAACACGAAAGUGGACGUAUACGGUGUGACGCCUGCCCGGUGCUGGAAGGUUAAUUGAUGGGGUCAGCCGCAAGGCGAAGCUCUUGAUCGAAGCCCCAGUAAACGGCGGCCGUAACUAUAACGGUCCUAAGGUAGCGAAAUUCCUUGUCGGGUAAGUUCCGACCUGCACGAAUGGCGUAAUGAUGGCCAGGCUGUCUCCACCCGAGACUCAGUGAAAUUGAACUCGCUGUGAAGAUGCAGUGUACCCGCGGCAAGACGGAAAGACCCCGUGAACCUUUACUAUAGCUUGACACUGAACAUUGAGCCUUGAUGUGUAGGAUAGGUGGGAGGCCUUGAAGUGUGGACGCCAGUCUGCAUGGAGCCAACCUUGAAAUACCACCCUUUAAUGUUUGAUGUUCUAACUCGGCCCCAURAUCUGGGGUGAGGACAGUGUCUGGUGGGUAGUUUGACUGGGGCGGUCUCCUCCCAAAGAGUAACGGAGGAGCACGAAGGUUAGCUAAUCACGGUCGGACAUCGUGAGGUUAGUGCAAAGGCAUAAGCUAGCUUGACUGCGAGAGUGACGGCUCGAGCAGGUACGAAAGUAGGUCUUAGUGAUCCGGUGGUUCUGAAUGGAAGGGCCAUCGCUCAACGGAUAAAAGGUACUCCGGGGAUAACAGGCUGAUACCGCCCAAGAGUUCAUAUCGACGGCGGUGUUUGGCACCUCGAUGUCGGCUCAUCACAUCCUGGGGCUGAAGUAGGUCCCAAGGGUAUGGCUGUUCGCCAUUUAAAGUGGUACGCGAGCUGGGUUUAGAACGUCGUGAGACAGUUCGGUCCCUAUCUGCCGUGGGCGUUGGAAGAUUGAGAGGGGCUGCUCCUAGUACGAGAGGACCGGAGUGGACGAAUCACUGGUGUUCGGGUUGUCAUGCCAAUGGCAUUGCCCGGUAGCUAAAUUCGGAAGAGAUAACCGCUGAAAGCAUCUAAGCGGGAAACUUGCCUCGAGAUGAGUCUUCCCUGGGRCUUWAAGYCCCCUGAAGGAACGUUAAAGACUAUGACGUUGA
rnacentral:rRNA from 1 species